rnacentral:rRNA from 1 species
CUUGACCAUCCUGCUGACCGCUUUGGAGACAGAGCUUCCCUUCGGGGCAACGGUGACAGGUGGUGCAUGGUUGUCGUCAGCUCGUGUCGUGAGAUGUUGGGUUAAGUCCCCGCAACGAGCGCAACCCUUAUUUUUAGUUGCCAGCAUUCAGUUGGGCACUCUAGAGAGACUGCCGUCGACAAGACGGAGGAAGGCGGGGAUGACGUCAAAUCAUCAUGCCCCUUAUGACCUGGGCUACACACGUGCUACAAUGGUUGGUACAACGGGAUGCUACCUCGCGAGAGGACGCCAAUCUCUUAAAACCAAUCUCAGUUCGGAUUGUAGGCUGCAACUCGCCUACAUGAAGUCGGAAUCGCUAGUAAUCGCGGAUCAGCAUGCCGCGGUGAAUACGUUCCCGGGCCUUGUACACACCGCCCGUCACACCACGGGAGUUUGCAACACCCGAAGUCGGUGAGGUAACCGCAAGGAGCCAGCCGCCGAAGGUGG